UACGUAGGGUGCGAGCGUUGCCCGGAUUUAUUGGGCGUAAAGGGCGCGUAGGCGGCUCUGCACGUCCGUUGUGAAAUCGCCCGGCUCAACUGGGCGGGGUCAGCGGAUACGGCGGAGCUUGAGCAAGCUAGGGGGCAAUGGAAUUCCCGGUGUAGUGGUGGAAUGCGUAGAUAUCAGGAGGAACACCGGUGGCGAAGGCGGGUCUCUGGGCCAUUACUGACGCUGAGGAGCGAAAGCGUGGGGAGCGAACAGG
rnacentral:rRNA from 1 species